AUUGAACGCUGGCGGCAGGCCUAACACAUGCAAGUCGAGCGGAGCGGCGGACGGGUGAGUAAUGCCUAGGAAUCUGCCUGGUAGUGGGGGAUAACGUCCGGAAACGGGCGCUAAUACCGCAUACUCUCUGAUGCGCCUAGGGCGGAUUAGCUAGUUGUUGGGUUAAAGGCCUACCAAGGAGACGAUCCGUACCUGGGCGGAGAGGCUGAUCAGUCACACGGGAAAUGAGACACGGGCCAGACUCCGACGGGAGGCAGCAGGGGGGAAUAGGGGACAAGGGGCGAAAGCCUGAUCCAGCCAUGCCGCGUGUGUGAAGAAGGUCUUCGGAUUGUAAAGCACUUUAAGUUGGGAGGCGUUACCAACAGAAUAAGCACCGGCUAACUUCGUGCCAGCAGCCGCGGUAAUAC
rnacentral:rRNA from 1 species